rnacentral:rRNA from 1 species
GUCUACAGCUAUACCACCUUGAAUGUGACUGAUCACAUCUGAUCUCAGAAUCUAAGCAGGGUCAGACCUGGUUAGUACUUGGAUGGGAGAUGGUGAAGGCCAGGGAAAGGGGGGCU